GUGUAAACACCAUGACUCUGGGUUCUGCUCAGCAGACUGAAGGGAACACAACUAUGAUGAUUCUCUAUGCUGUACUUGGAGAAGGCUGGUUAGUCAUAAGUUUUAAAGCAGGGAGACCAUGAUGAUGACAUUUGGAAGCAUCUCAGGAGACAAGAAUAAAACGCCAUUUUUUUUCCCACUUCGCUAACAACUCAGUGUUCUGAAAAGUCUGGAAUGUGCUAUGAAAAGUUUGUGUGCUUAGUGAAAUGUUGUACAAUUGGCCAAUCCACUAAGUCUUGGGAAAUGUCUUAGGAGCUUGGCAAGAAGAAGUUCUCAAGAGAGCCUGAAUGCUGCCAGUUUCCAAUUGGCCAAGACACAUUACAAGGACAACUGUCUCUCUGAGCAACCUGGCAUUUCCACUCCAAUUGGAAUCUGCAAGGGGAAGAUGCGCAGGGGAAGAAGAUUAAACAAACCUUUUCAGAUUUCUGGUCCAGGCAUGCUAUGAACCCUUUAAC
rnacentral:lncRNA from 1 species